rnacentral:rRNA from 1 species
CGACGAGGCUCAAGCGACUGUUUUAUCAAAAAACACAGGUCUCUGCUAAACCGUAAGGUGAUGUAUAGGGGCUGACUCCUGCCCAGUGCCGGAAGGUUAAGUGGAUCGGUUAGCGCAAGCGAAGCUGAAAACAAGCCCCGGUGAACGGCGGCCGUAACUAUAACGGUCCUAAGGUAGCGAAAUUCCUUGUCGGGUAAGUUCCGACCCGCACGAAUGGAGUAACGAUUUGAGCGCUGUCUCGGAGAGAGACUCGGCGAAAUAGGAUUGUCUGUGAAGAUACGGACUAGGCGUGCCAGGACAGAAAGACCCUAUUGAGCUUUACUGUAGGCUGAAAUUGUCUGCGGGCUAUAUCUGCGCAGGAUAGGUGGGAGACUUUGAAGUCAGAAUUUUGGUUCUGAUGGAGUCAACGUUGAGAUACCACUCUGAUGUAGCUAGCAUACUAACCUGAUUCCGUUAUCCGGGUCGGGG